rnacentral:snRNA from 1 species
AGCUUUGCGCAGUGGCAGUAUCGUAGCCAAUGAGGUUUAUCCGAGGCGCGAUUAUUGCUAAUUGAAAAUUUUUCCCAUAAUGAUGAAUUUAAAAACAUUUUGUAACCUAGGGUGUUAAAGUAGAACCAAUUUGACCAAUCUCUAGAGGU